rnacentral:rRNA from 1 species
CCUACGGGAGGCUGCAGUGGGGAAUAUUGCACAAUGGGCGCAAGCCUGAUGCAGCGACGCCGCGUGAGGGAUGAAGGCCUUCGGGUUGUAAACCUCUUUCGUCAGGGAACAAGGCACUACGUUUUGGUGGUGUUGAGGGUACCUGGAUAAGAAGCGCCGGCUAACUACGUGCCAGCAGCCGCGGUAAUACGUAGGGCGCAAGCGUUGUCCGGAAUUAUUGGGCGUAAAGAGCUCGUAGGCGGCUGGUCGCGUCUGUCGUGAAAACUUCCGGCUCAACCGGGGGCUUGCGGUGGGUACGGGCCGGCUAGAGUGCGGUAGGGGUAACUGGAACUCCUGGUGUAGCGGUGGAAUGCGCAGAUAUCAGGAAGAACACCGAUGGCGAAGGCAGGUUACUGGGCCGUUACUGACGCUGAGGAGCGAAAGCGUGGGGAGCGAACAGG